GGCGCGCAGGGCGCAUGCGCCGCAGCGCCAGCGCUCUCCCCGGAUCGUGCGGGGCCUGAGCCUCUCCGCCGGCGCAGGCUCUGCUCGCGCCAGCUCGCUCCCGCCGCCAUGCCCACCACCAUCGAGCGGGAGUUUGAGGAGUUGGAUACUCAGUGUCGCUGGCAGUCGCUGUACUUGGAAAUUCGAAAUGAGUCCCAUGACUAUCCUCAUGGAGUGGCCGAGUUUCCAGAAAACAGAAAUCGAAACAGAUACAAAGAUGUAAGCCCAUAUGAUGACAGCCGUGUUAAACUGCAGAAUGCUGAGAAUGAUUAUAUUAACGCCAGUUUAGUUGACAUAGAAGAGGCACAAAGGAGUUACAUCUUAACACAGGGUCCACUUCCUAACACAUGCUGCCAUUUCUGGCUUAUGGUUUGGCAGCAGCAGACCAAAGCAGUUGUCAUGCUGACCCGCAUUGUGGAGAAAGAAUCGGUUAAAUGUGCACAGUACUGGCCAACAGAUGACCAAGAGAUGCUGUUUAAAGAAACAGGAUUCAGUGUGAAGCUCUUGUCAGAAGAUGUGGAGUCGUAUUAUACAGUACAUCUACUACAAUUAGAAAAUAUCAAUAGUGGUGAAACCAGAACAAUAUCUCACUUUCAUUAUACUACCUGGCCAGAUUUUGGAGUCCCUGAAUCACCAGCUUCAUUUCUCAAUUUCUUGUUUAAAGUGAGAGAAUCUGGCUCCUUGAACCCUGACCAUGGGCCUGCGGUGAUCCACUGUAGUGCAGGCAUUGGGCGCUCUGGCACCUUCUCUCUGGUAGACACUUGUCUUGUUUUGAUGGAAAAAGGAGAUGAUAUUAACAUUAAACAAGUGUUACUGAACAUGAGAAAAUAUCGAAUGGGUCUUAUUCAGACCCCAGAUCAACUGAGAUUCUCAUACAUGGCUAUAAUAGAAGGAGCAAAAUGUAUAAAGGGAGAUUCUAGUAUACAGAAAUGAUGGAAAGAACUUUCUAAGGAAGACUUAUCUCCUGCCUUUGAUCAUUCACCAAACAAAAUAAUGACUGAAAAAUACAAUGGGAACAGAAUAGGUCUAGAAAAAGAAAAACUGACAGGUGACCGAUGUACAGGACUUUCCUCUAAAAUGCAAGAUACAAUGGAGGAGAACAGUGAGAGUGCUCUAUGGAAACGUAUUCGAGAGGACAGAAAGGCCACCACAGCUCA